GAUGAACGCUGGCGGCGUGCCUAAUACAUGCAAGUCGAGCGAACGGACGAGAAGCUUGCUUUUCUGAUGUUAGCGGCGGACGGGUGAGUAACACGUGGAUAACCUACCUAUAAGACUGGGAUAACUUCGGGAAACCGGAGCUAAUACCGGAUAAUAUUUUGAACCGCAUGGUUCAAAAGUGAAAGACGGUCUUGCUGUCACUUAUAGAUGGAUCCGCGCUGCAUUAGCUAGUUGGUAAGGUAACGGCUUACCAAGGCAACGAUGCAUAGCCGACCUGAGAGGGUGAUCGGCCACACUGGAACUGAGACACGGUCCAGACUCCUACGGGAGGCAGCAGUAGGGAAUCUUCCGCAAUGGGCGAAAGCCUGACGGAGCAACGCCGCGUGAGUGAUGAAGGUCUUCGGAUCGUAAAACUCUGUUAGUAGGGAAGAACAGAUGUGUAAUUAACUGUGCACAGCUUGACGGUACCUAAUCAGAAAGCCACGGCUAACUACGUG
rnacentral:rRNA from 1 species